GACGAACGCUGGCGGCGUGCUUAACACAUGCAAGUCGAGCGGUAAGGCCCUUUCGGGGGUACACGAGCGGCGAACGGGUGAGUAACACGUGGGUGAUCUGCCCUGCACUUCGGGAUAAGCCUGGGAAACUGGGUCUAAUACCGGAUAUGACCAAAGGCUGCAUGGUUUUUGGUGGAAAGGUUUACUGGUGCAGGAUGGGCCCGCGGCCUAUCAGCUUGUUGGUGGGGUAAUGGCCUACCAAGGCGACGACGGGUAGCCGACCUGAGAGGGUGACCGGCCACACUGGGACUGAGACACGGCCCAGACUCCUACGGGAGGCAGCAGUGGGGAAUAUUGCACAAUGGGCGAAAGCCUGAUGCAGCGACGCCGCGUGAGGGAUGACGGCCUUCGGGUUGUAAACCUCUUUCAGCAGGGACGAAGCGCAAGUGACGGUACCUGCAGAAGAAGCACCGGCCAACUACGUGCCAGCCGCCGCAGUAAAAC
rnacentral:rRNA from 1 species